GACGAACGCUGGCGGCGUGCUUAACACAUGCAAGUCGUACGGUAAGGCCCUUUCGGGGGUACACGAGUGGCGAACGGGUGCGUAACACGUGAGUAACCUGCCCACAACUUUGGGACAACGCUAGGAAACUGGUGCUAAUACUGGAUAUGUGCUCCUGCUGCAUGGUGGGGGUUGGAAAGCUCCGGCGGUUGUGGAUGGACUCGCGGCCUAUCAGCUUGUUGGUGGGGUAGUGGCCUACCAAGGCGGCGACGGGUAGCCGGCCUGAGAGGGUGACCGGCCACAUUGGGACUGAGAUACGGCCCAGACGCCUACGGGAGGCAGCAGGGGGGAAGAUUGCACAAUGGGCGCAAGCCUGAUGCAGCAACGCCGCGUGCGGGAUGACGGCCUUCGGGUUGUAAACCGCUUUCAGCAGGGACGAAGCUUUUUGUGACGGUACCUGCAGAAGAAGCACCGGCUAACUACGUG
rnacentral:rRNA from 1 species